rnacentral:rRNA from 1 species
GUAAGGAAUCUUCCACAAUGGACGAAAGUCUGAUGGAGCAACGCCGCGUGCAGGAUGACGGUCUUCGGAUUGUAAACUGCUUUUAUUUGGGAAGAUUAUGACGGUACCAAAUGAAUAAGGACCGGCUAACUACGUGCCAGCAGCCGCGGUAAUACGUAGGGUCCAAGCGUUAUCCGGAAUCACUGGGCGUAAAGCGUGCGUAGGUGGCGUAUUAAGUGAGAUGUGAAAUCCCGUGGCUCAACCAUGUGGACUGUGUCUCAUACUGAUAUGCUCGAGGAUGGCAGAGGCAAGUGGAAUUAGUAGUGUAGCAGUGAAAUGCGUAGAUAUUACUAGGAACACCAAUGGCGAAGGCAGCUUGCUGGGCCACACCUGACACUAAGGCACGAAAGCGUGGGGAGCGAACAGGAUUAGAUACCCCUGUAGUCC